AUGGCGGAUGCAGCAUGCAAGGUCCGGCCGGGCUCAGUUGGGGCACUGGAAGCCGGAGGGGACGUUCUUGCCGCAGUUGUUGAGGACGAGGCUGAGGGCGAUGGACAAGGUCAGGUUGAUGCCCAGGAGGUUGAGGUUCAGCGUCGUGCACAGGCACAGCGCCGCCUCCAGGUCCGCCAGCCCCUGGAUCAGCGAGCAGCACGGCUGCACCGGCGGGGACGGCCAGUGGCGUUGGCGAAGGUGAAGAAGAGAAGGUUCAGGGCCAGGAGCGUGGCGACCACCUGCACUUUCUUCGCCAUCUCUGCCUAA
rnacentral:rRNA from 1 species